GACGAACGCUGGCGGCGUGCUUAACACAUGCAAGUCGAACGGUGAUGCUCCAGCUUGCUGGAGUGGAUCAGUGGCGAACGGGUGAGUAACACGUGAGCAACCUGCCCCAGACUCUGGAAUAAGCGCUGGAAACGGCGUCUAAUACUGGAUACGAAACUGGCCCGCAUGGGCAUGGUUUGGAAAGUUUUUCGGUUUGGGAUGGGCUCGCGGCCUAUCAGCUUGUUGGUGAGGUAAUGGCUCACCAAGGCGACGACGGGUAGCCGGCCUGAGAGGGCGACCGGCCCCCCGGGGACGGGGACACGGCCCAGACCCCGACGGGAGGGAGGAGUGGGGAAUUUUGCAAAAGGGGCGAAAGCCUGAUGCAGCGACGCCGCGUGGGGGAUGACGGCCUUGGGGUUGAAAACCUUUUUCAGCGGGAAAGAAGCGAAAGUGACGGUACCGGCAAAAGAAGCACCGGCUAACUACGU
rnacentral:rRNA from 1 species